AGUGAACGCUGGCGGUAGGCCUAACACAUGCAAGUCGAACGGCAGCACAGUAAGAGCUUGCUCUUACGGGUGGCGAGUGGCGGACGGGUGAGGAAUACAUCGGAAUCUACUUUUUCGUGGGGGAUAACGUAGGGAAACUUACGCUAAUACCGCAUACGACCUACGGGUGAAAGCAGGGGAUCUUCGGACCUUGCGCGAUUGAAUGAGCCGAUGUCGGAUUAGCUAGUUGGCGGGGUAAAGGCCCACCAAGGCGACGAUCCGUAGCUGGUCUGAGAGGAUGAUAAGCCACACGGGAGCGGGGACACGGUCAAGACGCCUACGGGAGGCAGCAGUGGGGAAUAUUGGACAAUGGGCGCAAGCAUGAUCCAGCCAUACCGCGUGGGUGAAGAAGGCGUUCGGGUUGUAAAGACCUUUUGUUGGGAAAGAAAAGCAGCAGGUUAAUACCCCGCUGUUCUGACGGUACCCAAAGAAUAAGCACCGGCUAACUUCGUG
rnacentral:rRNA from 1 species